UUCUGGUGUACAGGUAUCACAACAGUAGGUUUAAGUAUCGUAUUCUAUGUACCGUAAAUGUGUAAAAUAAACAGGUGUUUAUAAAUAUCUUAAGGUAAAUACCGAAAACGGAUUUUCAGAAUUAACAACAGCUAACAAUGAAUAUCGACACACAACCGAUUAGUCCUACACAAAUAAAUGAACCGGUUGAUGUUACCGCAGUUACGCUGGAACAGGCGGAAGAGGAGCGCCGGAAACGUGAGGCUCAAACAUCGGAGCCGAUUGACGAUGAAGCAUGUGUUGCUUGUUUAGCUUGCUGUUGUUGUUGUUGUAGUGGUGACGGUGGUGACUCACAUGGAGGGGGAGAUGAUAGUUGUGAUUGUGGUUGUGACGGGGACGGUGAUUGUGGGGAUUGUGAUUGUGUAAUAUUGUGAUUGUUUACUAUACAGUUGUGAUAGCGGGCAGUUCAGUUAGUGAACGAUCUUGUAUAUUACUAAGAUCACAGACCAUAAAAGAAAGGGUAAUAUGCAGAAGACCCAGCAAUGUUUAUUAUAAAGUUUGAAAGGCAAUGGAUAAUGAAAAUGUUUUGAUUUGCUAAUUUAAUACUCUUCUCAAUAGAUCUGAAAAGAUCACAUCAAACAAUGCAUAUGUUUUAUUGUCUGAUUUUAAACACAUUACACGUGCAUGUAACCCGUGGCUCCGAUAUUUCAACGAAAUGAUGUACACUAAAUGCGGGACUGAAAAUUGUGUUUGUGCUACAUACAUGUAUAUGCCUGGUAGAUGUAUAUGGUUCCUUGUUAGACAAAAUAUCUAACUUUUCUAGCAAUUUUGAUUAUUAUCUGUGACGCAUAUUCUAACUGGGUGCUAGCUUCGGUUUUAUUCUUUGCUAAGAUAAUUAUCUAGACGAAUAUUUCUUUUCUUAAUUAGCAAAGUAAUAUUAUAACUAUGCUAUUAUUUCUGUCGUUGCCAUGGUACCUCAUUUGUGUUUAGAUAUCCAUUUAAUUGUGUCUUAUGCUAAGCUUCAGUACUGUAAAUAUACUAUAUUUGACGUCAAUUAUCUAGAAAUGUGUUUCAUGGGAGCAAAGUAGUGGUCAAUGAACGGGCAACAUGUCAAAUAAUUAUUAUAUUAAGCACGAGGCAUGAUAUGUAGAUGAAUCGAUUUUCCUUCCAUUAUAAUACAUUAUAUAGAUAUACUUACAGAACAUAUGCGGACAUUUUUCUUUAAAUAUCAAUUCCGUAAAUAAUAGUUAAGGGUACAAGUAAAUACCACAGAGUGCUUUGAUUUUACAUAACUUUUUUCCAUAGAAUGUUAUCUUUAGAUUAUUCAAAGAACUAUGUAUCAUUGGGUCAAGAUUGCAGUGACCUUGUACAAGGAAAACGUUUGAUUGUCAAUAACUACAUUGACUUUUCCCUUACUUUUACCAAGUAUUUUCAAGAAAUACAGGUCAAAAGUUGACAUCAAAUAACAUUGGUACCGACAACUGGCAUUCAGUUAGCAAUUAACAACCUGAAAUUACUUGAAAUAAAAAAUGAUCUUACGUUAAUUAUAGGUGUGCUGUUAUUGUCACUUUCAUGUUAUUGAGGAUAAGGACAUUAUAUUCGUAUUCACAGAGUGGGGAAAAACGCGCAGUUUGACUUUGACUCGAACACAAACACCACGGAAUACUAGUCCACCACUUGAUCGACAAAAGUACCUGAACGUUUUCAUAUUUUCUAUUAUAUUAAGUGAACAAAUACACGACACUGUGUAAUCAUGAUCUCAUUUUUAUCAUUCGUUUUUACAACUUUUUGGAGGGUAUUUUAAAAUCGUUUUUAUUAAAGGGUAUGAACACAUUGAUUUAAUAUAUAUAAUAAUUUUAUAAUAAUAAUAAUUUUAAAUUAACACUAUGUACAUUUGCCAUGGUUCCGGCAUGAAGAUGUUAAAAUAAUUCAAAAAAUGUGCAAUCAUUUACACCAUGUCAAACCGUUAAACUGUAUAUUUAUAAUGAAAGUAUGUUUUAUGUCAUCUUUUUUAAACGUUUAAAUGUAUUUCUACGCACUCAAAUCGUCGAAGUAACUCGAUUAAAUGCAAAUAAAUGUAUAUCAUGUUCGUCUACAUUUUUUAUUAGAUUAAAAGUAAAAUAGUGUU